GUUAGUAUAUUGGAGAGAAAUCUGUUUUCAGCGAGUUUCUAAAUCAUGAGUUCUAAUUCUGUCUUCACAUGCUACCUAAUUGUUUUACUGGUGCAUUUAAAACAUCUGCCAUUUUUCUGCAUUAAAAUCCAUCAGUAAAUCUGCCUCUUUCGUUUAGAAAACUGGAAAGAAAUUCUAACCAUCCAAGGAAGGAUGAAAGAGAAAUUCUAACCAUCCACGGAGAAUUUCUGCCUUGGUUUAUGAUGUUUCUGAUAAAAGUAUUUGACCCAAGAAGCAUUAUUAUUAGCAAAACUCUGCAAUUUUAGUUUUAUCUAUAAUGGAGAUUGAGUUUCUAAUCUAUAAAUAAUUUUUAAGAAGAGAACUAGAUUUUUAAAAAAUGGCAUUCUACUUGAUUUAACAUCCAGAAUUCUUCCAUCUCCUAUCAUAUGUAGAACAUCAAGUGUAAGGAUAUGUCACUGGAGACCAAGACCAAGAUCAUUCACACUAUUGUGUUCCCAGUCACAAUGUACGGGUGUGAAAGCCAGACAGUAAAGAAAGAUGACAGGAAGAUAAUUGAUUCAUUUGAAAUAUGGUGCUGGAGGAGAGCUUUGCAGAUAUACCUUGGAUUUCCAGGAAGAUGAACACAUGGGUCCUAGAGCAUAUCAAGCCUAAACUAUCUCAGGAGACAAAAAUGGUGAGACUGAGGCUGUCUUACUUUGGGCACAUCAUGAGAACACAGGAUUUUCUGAAAAAAAGACAAUAAGGCUAGGAAAAGUGGAAGGCAGCAGGAAAAGGGGAAGACCACAUGCAAGAUGGAUUAACUCUCUAAAGAAGACUACAGCCUACAAGAGCUCAGCGGGGCUGUUGAGGACAAGACAUUUUGGAGACCAUGUGUGUAAAAAUGAUACCCAGACCGGGAUUCUGGUCAAAGUUCUUGUGACCCAAGGGCAAGGCAAGGCACAAGAGGCCAACAGCUGCAGAGGGUCUUGCUGGCCUCAACAUAAGAACCACUGCCACCUACCUGAGCCAGGCCAAUGGGGCCCCACACCAACACAGCAGCAACACUUGGAGGCAAAAGAGGCAGAAAGAAUGCCAGUGGCGCCUGCAGCAGCUGCUGCCACUGAAGCCGACACUGCCAGACCCCACACCUUGCCCUCACUGCAGGCUGUCAAGCCAUCCUUUUUCCAGGUGCCCUCUUUUGGACUCCCGUGGAGAUUGCUGUUAAAGGAUAUUAAAGACUUUCCAGCCCCAGUAAAGCUAACUCAGGGCUCAGCUAAGACUGUGCAGGGGGACGUGGCAUCGACUUUGUCCCUGGGACAAGUUUCAGGAAUGGCCCAAACUCUCACAGAUGGUACUUCCCCACUCUCCAUUAUCAUAAACCCUGUCGGACUUGAACUAGACCACGUGGAGCUAAUGGAUAUGGGCAUAGAGGAAGAUCUGCCCACUGAUCCCCACCCAGAGGGGCGUCUCCUAACCAUACUGUCUCCACCAAAAUGAAAAAUUUGCAGUGCAGCCAAAAAUAUGUUGAGAGAUUGAUGGAAGAAGUGAUCAUACACCAUAUUUCUUUUGCCACAUGUGUAUGGUUAGCCGCCUAGAGUGGUCCUGACACGACCAGAUAGGCGGGAUAUAAAUAAAAUAAAAUAAAAUUAAAAUAUACUUAUUUAU
rnacentral:lncRNA from 1 species